AUUGAACGCUGGCGGCAUGCCUUACACAUGCAAGUCGAACGGCAGCACGGGAGCAAUCCUGGUGGCGAGUGGCGAACGGGUGAGUAAUAUAUCGGAACGUGCCCAGUCGUGGGGGAUAACGCAGCGAAAGCUGUGCUAAUACCGCAUACGAUCUACGGAUGACAGCGGGGGAUCGCAAGACCUCGCGCGAUUGGAGCGGCCGAUAUCAGAUUAGCUAGUCGGUGAGGUAAAGGCUCACCAAGGCGACGAUCUGUAGCUGGUCUGAGAGGACGACCAGCCACACUGGAACUGAGACACGGUCCAGACUCCUACGGGAGGCAGCAGUGGGGAAUUUUGGACAAUGGGCGCAAGCCUGAUCCAGCAAUGCCGCGUGCAGGAUGAAGGCCUUCGGGUUGUAAACUGCUUUUGUACGGAACGAAACGGUGAGCUCUAAUACAGUUUGCUAAUGACGGUACCGUAAGAAUAAGCACCGGCUAACUACGUGCCAGCCGCCGCAGUAAGAC
rnacentral:rRNA from 1 species